rnacentral:rRNA from 1 species
UACGUAGGGUGCGAGCGUUGUCCGGAAUUAUUGGGCGUAAAGGGCUCGUAGGCGGUCUGUCACGUCGGGAGUGAAAACUCGGGGCUUAACUCCGAGCCUGCUUCUGAUACGGGCAGACUAGGGGUAUGCAGGGGAGAAUGGAAUUCCUGGUGUAGCGGUGAAAUGCGCAGAUAUCAGGAAGAACACCAAUGGCGAAGGCAGCUCUCUGGGACGGUACUGACGCUGAGACGCGAAAGCGUGGGGAGCGAACAGG